rnacentral:rRNA from 1 species
CCUACGGGUGGCAGCAGUGAGGAAUAUUGGUCAAUGGACGAGAGUCUGAACCAGCCAAGUAGCGUGAAGGAUGACUGCCCUAUGGGUUGUAAACUUCUUUUAUAUGGGAAUAAAACGUUCCACGUGUGGGAUUUUGUAUGUACCAUAUGAAUAAGGAUCGGCUAACUCCGUGCCAGCAGCCGCGGUAAUACGGAGGAACCGAGCGUUAGCCGGAUUUAUUGGGUUUAAAGGGAGCGUAGGUGGAUUGUUAAGUCAGUUGUGAAAGUUUGCGGCUAAACCGUAAAAUUGCAGUUGAAACUGGCAGUCUUGAGUACAGUAGAGGUGGGCGGAAUUCGUGGUGUAGCGGUGAAAUGCUUAGAUAUCACGAAGAACUCCGAUUGCGAAGGCAGUUCACUGGACUGCAACUGACACUGAGGCUCGAAAGUGUGGGUAUCAAACAGGAUUAGAUACCCGAGUAGUC